GCCUGGGUGGCUCAGUAAGUUGAGUGUCUGACUUCAACUCAGGUCAUGAUCUCAUACUCUGUGAGUUCGAGCCCCGUGUCGGGCU
rnacentral:tRNA from 1 species